rnacentral:rRNA from 1 species
AGUGAACGCUGGCGGUAGGCCUAACACAUGCAAGUCGAACGGCAGCACAGUAAGAGCUUGCUCGUACGGGUGGCGAGUGGCGGACGGGUGAGGAAUACAUCGGAAUCUACUUUUUCGUGGGGGAUAACGUAGGGAAACUAACGCUAAUACCGCAUACGACCUACGGGUGAAAGCAGGGGAUCUUCGGACCUUGCGCGAUUGAAUGAGCCGAUGUCGGAUUAGCUAGUUGGCGGGGUAAAGGCCCACCAAGGCGACGAUCCGGAGCUGGUCUGAGAGGAUGAUCGCCCACACUGGAACUGAGACACGGUCCCGACUCCUGAGGCAGGCAGCAGUGGGGAAUAUUGGACAAUGGGCGCAAGCCUGAUCCAGCCAUACCGCGUGGGUGAAGAAGGCCUUCGGGUUGUAAAGCCCUUUUGUUGGGAAAGAAAAGCAGCCGGUUAAUACCCCGCUGUUCUGACGGUACCCACAGAAUAAGCACCGGCUAACUUCGUG